CAGUAGCCACGGGAAUACGUAGGUGGCAAGCGUUGUCCGGAAUUAUUGGGCGUAAAGGGCUCGCAGGCGGUUUCUUAAGUCUGAUGUGAAAGCCCCCGGCUCAACCGGGGGGGGUCAUUGGAAACUGGGAAACUUGAGUGCAGAAGAGGAGAGCGGAAUUCCACGUGUAGCGGUGAAAUGCGUAGAGAUGUGGAGGAACACCGGUGGCGAAGGCGGGUUGCUGGGCCGACACUGACGCUGAUGCGCGAAAGCCAGGGGAGCAAACGGGAUUAGAUACCCCCGUAGUCCCUGUCUCUUAUAC
rnacentral:rRNA from 1 species